AGGAGGGACGUGUAAGUGGCUCCUGUCCGCUUUACUGCUUUAAAGCGAGCCACAGAGAAGGGAAGGAAGGGGAGCCAUGGCUCGCUUUAAAGCAGCAAAGCAGACAGGGGCCGCCUGCUUUGCUGCUUUAAAUUUGCUGCUUUAAAGCGAGCUGCGGAGGAGGGACGGAUGGGAGCCAUGGCUCCCCUUCCUUCCUUCCUUCCUUCCUUCCUUCCUUCCUUCCUUCCUUCCUUCCUCUGAGGCUUGCUUUAAAGCAGUACAGCGGACAGGAGCCGCCCGCUUUGCUGUUUUAAAUAGUUUAGUACAACAUUUGAUUCAGAAUAUUCCCCCCCCCCUCCGUGUUUUUCCUCCUCUAAAAACUAGGUGCAUCUUAUGGUCAGGUGCAUCUUAUGGAGUGAAAAAUACGGUACUCCACGGGACUAAAAAAAAAUGGUGUUGCUCCCACCCCAUUUGCCUCUGGUCCUGUCAUGUGACAAAGACACAUGAGAGCAGAAGCAGCAAAGCAGGCUGGGAAGUGCUGGGACUUCACAAUCAUUUGGGCCUACUAAAGUUAUUCAGGCCUAACUGCUAACUGUGGAGUCACUCUGACAUGUGACUCAUUCUCCUUAUAAGUAGCCGCCAUUUUCUCUCUGUGUUCUCUGUAAAAUUUCAGUCAGAGUCAGUUUGCCUGAGUUGUGAGCAGAGUCAGCAUGUAAUCUCAGUCAACUGUUUGGAACCAUGUUGUUUAUGAAGAAAUUUAACUCAGUAAAACUCUUAUUCUUUCACUUAACAAAUCUGCGUUAUUAAUUUGCGCUGCGUGUCAGGUACAUGGCCCCUGUAAAACAGUCCAGAAGGGAAUGAGUUCCUCUGGUUCAAAAAUGUUCUUUGGCAUUGAUCUAGAGCAUCUUUGAGAGAUGCCAGCCAGUCUUUUCCCGAAACCUUUCCCAAGAAAGAAACUUUCACAUUCUUGGUUUUUCUUGCUGGUGAGCUGUUUUGGUUUCUGCUAUUUAUUUGCAAAAAAAGAAGCAUGCUUUCACCUGUCAAUCAUUAGGCCGACUGAUGUUCUAGGAAUACCUAAAGUUGUUUAAGAUUAGACUGAAAGGCGAGAGCCAGGGCUCUUCUGUAAAUUGUCCAUCAGCAAAGCAGAAGGCUCCAAAAGCUGCAUUCCUGGCCAAGCCCCACUCGCUGAGGAACUGUUUAGUCUGCUGCACAAGUGCUGUUUGAAGACAUGCUGUUAUGUGAAGUUCAGUCCUGGUAGGGGGAGUUGAUGUGUGAGUUCUGCAUUCUUUUGUUCUUAACUAAGGCUAGAUUAAUAAAAGGUGUUAAUCAGCAUUUUUCUUUCUUUUCUAGGCAACGUCUCUCACUCUCCAUUACUGACAGUUGCAGCAUGUGGAAACCUCGGGCAAAAAGUAAACAAGGUCCAAACCAGGGUUGCCAAGUUGAAUAAAAUAUGGGGGGGGGGUAAGCCCCAGCCCACAUAAUCAAUCACAAGAUACAGUUCAUGCACACCAUUUGAAUGGCAAUGCUUAUAUGGACAACUUCUUCGCUGAUGUUCAUCAGGAUGGUAGGACCUUAUCUUGCCCUACCAAAUGUGUGGAAUAAUGGCUGCUACAAGGAUGUCAUUCUGCCGUUGAUACAAAAAGCAGGAAGUGAUCUAGAGGUGAGGGUACAUCAGAGGAUAUGUUAAAAGUGUGGCACUUACUGUAACAACUUCAUGGUGAGUACUGCCACC